rnacentral:rRNA from 1 species
GACGAAGGGGGCUAGCGUUGCUCGGAAUCACUGGGCGUAAAGCGCACGUAGGCGGCUUGUUAAGUCAGGGGUGAAAUCCUGGAGCUCAACUCCAGAACUGCCUUUGAUACUGGCAAGCUUGGAGUCCGGGAGAGGUGAGUGGAACUGCGAGUGUAGAGGUGAAAUUCGUAGAUAUUCGCAAGAACACCAGUGGCGAAGGCGGCUCACUGGCCCGGUACUGACGCUGAGGUGCGAAAGCGUGGGGAGCAAACAGG